rnacentral:lncRNA from 1 species
CAGACCUGCUUCUUGACAGACAGCCAGGAUUCACAGAAAACUGGAGGCCAUGGUUGAGUAUUCACUCUCUGCUAAGGCACAGUAGCAAGGCAAAUGCUUUUUCUCAAAUGGAGAGAAGUUAUCUACAAAGGAUGACAUGUCUUUGCUCCACAUUUUCCAGAUCUGUGCUAUGACUCUCCUGUAGGAGCCUGCCAAAAUUUCCAAGAGGAUCUCUACCUGCCACCAACACUUCUAUCAAAGAGCAUAGAGUUUUCAGAGAAUAGACAACUCAUAGCCUCAGCAGGGACCCACAGCUGCAGGUUGAUUUCCACACUGGGACAGAUAAGAAGUCAGACAUUGCCUUCCAUUUUGGAGUGUACUUUGGGAAUUGAGUGGUCAUGAACAGCAUGUGCGUGGAGCCUGGAAGCAUCACAGAAAAUCUGAGGGUAUGCCCUUUAAGGAUGGCAAACAAUUUGACCUGCACAUCUCAGUGCUGGACAAUGAGUACCAGGUAAUGGUCAAUGACAAACAGUGUUACAGUUUUGCCCAUCAACUCCCAUCAUGUUACGUGAAGAUGGUGCAAGUGUGGUGGGAUGUCUCCCUGACCUCAAUGUGUGUCUGUGAUUGACGGUGAUGUCCACACUCCCUGCUACUGAGGAGCAACAGAAACUCCCCAUUUCUCUGUGACUGUGGUAUCCCAGAGCCUGCUAAGAGAAUGAUCUCUCCUCACGCCUUCCUCUACACAUGGUCAAUAAAACUUCACUAAAUUAUCCA